AACGCACAUUGCGCCCUUUGGUAUUCCUUAGGGCAUGCCUGUUCGAGCGUCAUUUAAACCUUCAAGCUCAGCUUGGUGUUGGGUGACUGUCCGCCGCCUCCGGGCGUGUGGACUCGCCUCAAAAUUAUUGGCGGCCGGUACAUUGGCUUCGAGCGCAGCAGAAACGCGAACUCGGGCCCGUCGUAUUGGCUCCCAGAAGCUAUCUUCACAAUUUUGACCUCGGAUCAGGUAGGGAUACCCGCUGAACUUAA
rnacentral:misc_RNA from 1 species